rnacentral:rRNA from 1 species
AACGAACGCUGGCGGCGUGCUUAAGACAUGCAAGUCGUACGGAAAGGCCCCCUUCGGGGGGUACUCGAGUGGCGCACGGGUGAGUAACGCGUGGGCAAUCUACCUUCGGGUCUGGGACAACCCCGGGAAACUGGGGGCUAAUACCGGAUAAGACCACCGGAUCUUCGGAUCCAGCGGAAAAAGGUGGCCUCUCCUUGGAAGCUACCGCCUGUCGAUGAACCCGCGUCCCAUUAGCUUGUUGGUGAGGUAACGGCUCACCAAGGCGACGAUGGGUAGCUGGUCUGAGAGGAUGAUCAGCCACACUGGCACUGGAACACGGGCCAGACUCCUACGGGAGGCAGCAGUGAGGAAUAUUGGGCAAUGGGCGCAAGCCUGACCCAGCCACGCCGCGUGUGUGAUGAAGGCCUUCGGGUCGUAAAGCACUGUGGGGAGGGACGAAAAACCUCCGUUCGAAUAGGGCGGAGGCUUGACGGUACCUCCUUAGCAAGCACCGGCUAACUCUGUG